rnacentral:rRNA from 1 species
GAUGAACGCUGGCGGCGUGCCUAAUACAUGCAAGUCGAGCGAACGGACGAGAAGCUUGCUUUUCUGAUGUUAGCGGCGGACGGGUGAGUAACACGUGGAUAACCUACCUAUAAGACUGGGAUAACUUCGGGAAACCGGAGCUAAUACCGGAUAAUAUUUUGAACCGCAUGGUUCAAAAGUGAAAGAAGGUCUUGCUGUCACUUAUAGAUGGAUCCGCGCUGCAUUAGCUAGUUGGUAAGGUAACGGCUUACCAAGGCAACGAUGCAUAGCCGACCUGAGAGGGUGAUCGGCCACACUGGAACUGAGACACGGUCCAGACUCCUACGGGAGGCAGCAGUAGGGAAUCUUCCGCAAUGGGCGAAAGCCUGACGGAGCAACGCCGCGUGAGCGAUGAAGGUCUUCGGAUCGUAAAACUCUGUUAUUAGGGAAGAACAUAUGUGUAAGUAACUGUGCACAUCUUGACGGUACCUAAUCAGAAAGCCACGGCUAACUACGUG